UACGGAGGGAGCAAGCGUUACUCGGAAUUAUUGGGCGUAAAGGGCGCGUAGGCGAUUUGAAAAGUCUUGUGUGAAAGCCCCGAGCUUAACUCGGGAAGUGCACAAGAAACUGUUGAAUUUGAGUUCCGGAGAGGAAGGCAGAAUUCCCGGUGUAGCGGUGAAAUGCGUAGAUAUCUGGAGGAACACCGGUGGCGAAGGCGGCAUCCUGGACCAACACUGACGCUGAGGAGCGAAAGCCAGGGGAGCAAACGGG
rnacentral:rRNA from 1 species